rnacentral:rRNA from 1 species
UACGUAGGGUGCAAGCGUUGUCCGGAAUUAUUGGGCGUAAAGAGCUCGUAGGCGGUUUGUCGCGUCUGCUGUGAAAACUGGAGGCUCAACCUCCAGCCUGCAGUGGGUACGGGCAAACUAGAGUGCGGUAGGGGAGAUUGGAAUUCCUGGUGUAGCGGUGGAAUGCGCAGAUAUCAGGAGGAACACCGAUGGCGAAGGCAGAUCUCUGGGCCGUAACUGACGCUGAGGAGCGAAAGCGUGGGGAGCGAACCGG